GCUCACUUCAGCUGCACAUAAACUAAAAUUGGAAUACUACAGAGAUUAGCAUGGCCCCUAUGCAAGGAUAACAAGCCAAAUUUGUGAAGCAUUUGUACUUUUG